rnacentral:rRNA from 1 species
GACGGGGGGGGGCAAGUGUUCUUCGGAAUGACUGGGCGUAAAGGGCACGUAGGCGGUGAAUCGGGUUGAAAGUGAAAGUCGCCAAAAAAGUGGCGGAAUGCUCUCGAAACCAAUUCACUUGAGUGAGACAGAGGAGAGUGGAAUUUCGUGUGUAGGGGUGAAAUCCGUAAAUAUACGAAGGAACGCCAAAAGCGAAGGCAGCUCUCUGGGUCCCUACCGACGCUGGAGGUGCGAAAGCAUGGGGAGCGAACAGG